AUGCCAAAACCCUCUGAUGUGAUGAUAACCACGCCAGUAUACCAGCAACAGCAGUAUGAAAUCUCCAAGUUCCUGAAGACCAAGCCACUGGCUCUGGGGAUUUUGGUAGUACUGAUAGCCUUAUUGGCACUCGGUUUGACGCUCCAUAAUGAGAGUUUUCAUCUUCUCUGGUCACCAAUCAUUUCCACUAUAAUUGGAGCCAUAACAGUCUUGGCUGCAUACACACGUAAACCACGUCUGGUCAAUAUCUCACAAAAGCUCAGCUAUGUACAUUUUGCAAUAGCUGCUUUCUCCCUCCAAACUCACAUUCUUUUUGUUUUGAUUUUUCCGAAUGUGACCUCCUAUGUCCUUAUCGCCUGUGAUAUACUGAUCUUCAGCUUCUCUCUUGCUAUUGCCGUAACCUCCUGUUCCUGUUGCUGCAAUCCAAAGUCAACCCCUGUCAUGGUCAGUUAUGUGACCACAGAUGUGCCUGUCAACCGCAUCAUGCUAAUGGGUCAGCCGGACUCUUCUGCAGUGGUACAGUCCGUUAGUUCAGUCAUGUACAUGCUGCCAGCAGCACAUGGCUUAGUAACACCUGCUCCUCUGCCAAAUUGUGGUCUUUUCCCAAAUGCAUCUCCACCAAUCUACAGUCCAGUGCCAACUACACCUCCACCCAGCUACGAUAAACUCUCAGAUGCACCACCACCAAACUAUGGUCCAGUUGCAAGAACACCUCCACCAGCAUAUGAGAAUGAAGAUUUACAGGCCAGAAGAUGAACUAGAUCUCGGACACAAAUGGGGAUAUUUGAUGUUUACACAAUGGAUUAUAGCGAAUGGGAAUAUAUAUAUAUAUAUAUAUAUAUAUAUAUAUAUAUAUUACAAUUAAAUAAAUUAUUUUUGAAAAUCA
ensembl:lncRNA